UACGUAGGGGGCAAGCGUUGUCCGGAAUUAUUGGGCGUAAAGAGCGCGUAGGCGGUCCGAUAAGUCGGCUGUGAAAGUCAAGGGCUCAACCCUUGAAAGCCGGCCGAUACUGUCGGACUAGAGUCCGGAAGAGGCAAGUGGAAUUCCCGGUGUAGCGGUGAAAUGCGCAGAUAUCAGGAGGAACACCGGUGGCGAAGGCGGGUCUCUGGGCCGAUACUGACGCUGAGGAGCGAAAGCAUGGGUAGCGAACAGG
rnacentral:rRNA from 1 species